UACAGAGGUCUCAAGCGUUGUUCGGAUUCAUUGGGCGUAAAGGGUGCGUAGGCGGCGCGGUAAGUCGGGUGUGAAAUCUCGGAGCUUAACUCCGAAACUGCAUUCGAUACUGCCGUGCUUGAGGACUGGAGAGGAGACUGGAAUUCUCGGUGUAGCAGUGAAAUGCGUAGAUAUCGAGAGGAACACCGGUGGCGAAGGCGGUUCUCUGGGCCUUACCUGACGCUGAGGAGCGAAAGCGUGGGGAGCGAACAGG
rnacentral:rRNA from 1 species